CAAAUCUUAGCGGUGGAUCACUCGGUUCG
rnacentral:rRNA from 1 species